AGGGGAANGUACCGACAAAUCUGCUCNGUCGAUCGAUUGGUAUUAAGAGCUUGCUCUUAUGAAGUUAGCGGCGGACGGGUGAGUAACACGUGGGUAACCUGCCCAUAAGACUGGGAUAACUCCGGGAAACCGGGGCUAAUACCGGAUAACAUUUUGAACCGCAUGGUUCGAAAUUGAAAGGCGGCUUCGGCUGUCACUUAUGGAUGGACCCGCGUCGCAUUAGCUAGUUGGUGAGGUAACGGCUCACCAAGGCAACGAUGCGUAGCCGACCUGAGAGGGUGAUCGGCCACACUGGGACUGAGACACGGCCCAGACUCCUACGGGAGGCAGCAGUAGGGAAUCUUCCGCAAUGGACGAAAGUCUGACGGAGCAACGCCGCGUGAGUGAUGAAGGCUUUCGGGUCGUAAAACUCUGUUGUUAGGGAAGAACAAGUGCUAGUUGAAUAAGCUGGCACCUUGACGGUACCUAACCAGAAAGCCACGGCUAACUACGUGCCAGCAGCCGCGGUAAUACGUAGGUGGCAAGCGUUAUCCGGAAUUAUUGGGCGUAAAGCGCGCGCAGGUGGUUUCUUAAGUCUGAUGUGAAAGCCCACGGCUCAACCGUGGAGGGUCAUUGGAAACUGGGAGACUUGAGUGCAGAAGAGGGAAGANGACUUCCNGUGUAUCGGGGAAAUGAGUUAGUAUGGAGGGACACGGUAUGAGAAAGUGGUUUUUUCUGGUGUUUCACCAGC
rnacentral:rRNA from 1 species